GUUGAUUUGGCAGAAUAGUGCUUUAAAUUUAGAAUUUAAAUAUAUAAUUGUAUUUUAUAGUCAAUA
rnacentral:tRNA from 1 species